CUUUGAAUCUGUUCCAUCCCUUCCUUUAUACAACAAGUUACGAUCACGACUCCAAUCCACCACAGAGUUCCACCAUGGUGAGGUGUCUAGUGGGAGGGGUGGGGAAAAUGGGACGGGUGGGGAAGAUGGGAAAGCUAGGCAUAACAGAUUAAUAAAGAUCUUCCACACUUUUAAACUCUGGUUAGAAGAACCUAAAGUACAUGAACAAGAUCUAUACCUACCUUCCCUACCCAACCAAUAUAAUGCAGAUCUGCUAUCUAAACUAAGAACCAGGGACCUUAAGCUUAAUCUAGAUGAUUGCCAAGUUAAAAGAAUAACUGAGGAGCUUAAUACAUUGGCACUGGAGUGGAAGAAUCUACAAACCAACACCAAGCACUCUGAUCGUAAACAUGCAAGAUACAGUUUCCAUGGCAGACCGGUAAGCAUGUAGUAAUACAUUACAUAUAGUGGUUAGCAUGCAUGCCUAUAAACCAGAGAUUAAGGGUUCAAGGCUUGUCAAAGCAACUGUUGUGGGUGUAUGUGUUCUUGCGCAAGACCCAGUGGUCACUAAUGGGUUGUGCAAAUUGUCCGAAAGCAAUCACCCACAAAGUUACAUGGCUGCACCACUGUAUACAGUAGUGCCUGUUUGUGGUAGUGUUUUUCUC